CCAGGAAGAAAAAGUUGGAACUUGAUGCCCUUAUAGGCCUUGCUGCAGGUUUGCGUGUGUGUAUCAAGACAAUCUGAAGAGGGAAGGUAAAACUGCCAAUAACUUUCCAGAGGAGAAAUGGACAUCAGAAUAGAAAUACCUUCUAUGCUGUGAAUAUCAUGUCGCCACAGCACCAGUUAAAUGUUCUGUAUCAGCCUGCUGAGAGUCCCUAAGAAGCCAGAAAUACAGUUACUGAGCACAAGAAAUAAUUUUUCUCUCCAUGUAAGAGGGCUUAGCAGGAUGGAGCCUGCCCACAGCCUUCAGGGGAAUAGCUACAGACACACAAGCUCUCCCCAUUUGAUCUUGCUGGUAAUGGCAACAUCAACUUAAUUCAAAGAGGGCAAGCUGUCUCAUGAAAAACACUCACCUCUCUUGGAGAAAAAACAAAUACAAAAAAAACCCCAACAAAACAAAACUGACAAUAAAUUUUUGAAAAAUUUGCUGAAAAGUGCCAAUUCAAUGAAUUUGAGAAAAUAUUUUUUGCCAGCACCUCUGGGCACGCACUGUUCUAAUGACAAGCUGCAAAGAAACACUGAGAAUGUGCCACUGUCUGUAAUUUUUAACCAUUCACUUAUGGAUUUUCAUACUAUAUGAAUACAUUUGCAUUUUAAAAAUUGCUGCCUGGUCAGCAACAGCAUCAAGGAAAAUUCUCAGUGGCUCAGAGUUUUCAUUUUGUUGUUUCUUUCAAGAAACCUUAAAACCAGACAAAACUUCAUAGAAACGUAGCUUGAAAAUGGAUUUGUAUGCAGCAAAUUCUUUUCCAGCCUCUGAUGCCACUGAAGAAGGGCAGCAGUUAUGUAAGUACCCAUGAGGACACGGUGCUGGCAUACCAAGGUUUCAGUUUUAAAAGAUUGUAGUCAACCCUACUCAUGUGCUCAAGGGAUGCACUGCCGUGCGUGCUCUGUGUUGCCGGUUUCCUCAUCCUUUCAGCAUUUUGGCAGGAAGUCAAAUUAAACCUAUACAAACAAUCAGGCAGCAGAUGACCUCAGCUUUAAGAGCAAACACAGCUCCUCUCAAGAGAUUUCAUUCUGUGGAAACUACAGGCUGCAGUUUGCAGUGUUUUAACUCUGCAGAACUGCCUGGUCCAUGCUCGGUUUGCAUUGUAAAUAGAAGCGUGGGCUGCAUAUUCAUCCGAGUUACAGAAGUCGAGUGUUCAGCUCUCAGGACGUUUAUGCCAAGCACU